AUACGUAGGGGGCGAGCGUUGUCCGGAAUGAUUGGGCGUAAAGGGCGCGUAGGCGGCCCGGUAAGUCUGGAGUGAAAGUCCUGUUUUUAGGAUGGGAAUUGCUUGGGAUACUUUCGGGCUUGAGUGCGGGAGAGGUAAGUGGAAUUCCCAGUGUAGGGGUGAAAUGCGUAGAGAUUGGGAGGAACACCAGUGGCGAAGGCGACUUACUGGACUGUAACUGACGCUGAGGCGCGAAAGUGUGGGGAGCAAACAGGAUUAGAUACCCUGGUAGUCCACACUGUAAACGAUGAAUGCUAGGUGUAGGGGGUAUCGACCCCUUCUGUGCCGCAGUCAACACAAUAAGCAUUCCGCCUGGGGAGUACGGCCGCAAGGUUGAAACUCAAAGGAAUUGACGGGG
rnacentral:rRNA from 1 species